UACGUAGGUGGCAAGCGUUGUCCGGAUUUACUGGGCGUAAAGAGCGCGCAGGCGGUCGUUCAAGUCGCGUGUGAGAGCCCCCGGCUCAACUGGGGAGGGUCACGCGAUACUGAUCGACUUGAAGGCAGGAGAGGGUAGUGGAAUUCCCGGUGUAGUGGUGAAAUGCGUAGAUAUCGGGAGGAACACCAGUGGCGAAGGCGACUACCUGGCCGUGUUCUUCGACGCUGAGGCGCGAAAGCUAGGGGAGCAAACGGG
rnacentral:rRNA from 1 species